rnacentral:sRNA from 1 species
CCCGGGGGGCACGAAGAGGGCGCCCAGCUUCACGGCGCUGUGAGCGCGCACUUCCGGGCACGGUCAGGGCGUGACGUCGGGAGGAGGGCAGACACGCCGCUUUUUGGAUGCCUCCUACGCCUGGCGGGAGUCUUGUCUGAGCUGGCACCACCACACGGCCCACGACAUCUUCGCAGAGAAGCCUGUGGACCCUCUGCCAGGCUCCGCAAGAGGUCAGGACAGGGCAGUGUGUUCACAAGGCCAGUUUCUGAUCGUCCGCCUUGAGGGUGAGGACCAGUAGGCAGCUUCCAAGAUGGGUGAAAGGAAAGGGGUCAACAAGUACUAUCCUCCAGACUUCAACCCUGAGAAGCAUGGCUCUCUCAACCGAUACCACAACAGCCACCCACUUCGGGAGCGGGCUCGGAAGCUGUCACAGGGCAUCCUCAUCAUCCGAUUCGAAAUGCCGUAUAACAUCUGGUGCGAUGGCUGCAAGAACCACAUCGGCAUGGGUGUUCGUUACAACGCAGAAAAGAAGAAGGUGGGCAAUUACUACACAACCCCGAUCUACAGGUUCCGGAUGAAAUGCCACCUCUGUGUCAACUACAUCGAGAUGCAGACGGACCCCGCCAACUGCGACUACGUGAUCGUGAGUGGCGCCCAGCGCAAGGAGGAGCGCUGGGACAUGGCGGACAAUGAGCAGGUGCUGACCACAGGUGAGCGCCACCCACUUACCUGCCUGGGGGCCCUGGCCCUGAGUCUGCGCUGGGGCCCCCAAAGCCCAGCCGAGCUCUGGUCGUUGCAGAGCAUGAGAAGAAGCAGAAGCUGGAGACGGACGCCAUGUUCCGGCUGGAGCACGGCGAGGCCGACCGCAGCACACUCAAGAAGGCGCUGCCCACCCUGAGCCACAUCCAGGAGGCCCAGAGCGCCUGGAAGGACGACUUCGCCCUCAACAGCAUGCUGCGGAGAAGGUUCCGGGAAAAGAAAAAAGCCAUCCAGGAGGAGGAGGAGAGAGACCAGGCCUUGCAGGCCAAGGCGAGCCUGACUAUCCCACUGGUGCCCGAGACGGAAGAUGACCGCAAGCUGGCGGCUCUGCUGAAGUUCCACACCCUGGACUCCUACGAGGACAAGCAGAAACUCAAGCGGACCGAGAUCAUCAGCCGCUCCUGGUUCCCCUCCGUCCCCGGAUCCGCCUCCAGCAGCAAGGCCAGCGGCGUCCUGAAGAAGCUGGCACAGAGCCGCAGAACCGCACUUGCCACCUCCCCCAUCACCGUGGGGGACCUGGGCAUCGUGCGGCGGAGGUCUCGGGACGUCCCGGAGAGCCCCCAGCAUGCGGCCGACACCCCCAAAUCUAGGGAACCGCGGGUACCAGAGGAGGCUACCCAGGACCGGCCCAUGUCCCCCGGAGACUGUCCUCCGGAAACAGCUGAGACCCCCAAGUGCAGCAGGCCGAGGGGGCAGGAAGGGAGCCGUCAGGACAAGCCCCUGUCACCAGCAGGCUCCUCCCAAGAGGCAGCUGACACCCCCGACACGCGGCACCCCUGCAGUCUCGGCUCCUCCCUUGUAGCGGACUACUCCGACUCGGAGAGUGAGUGAGCGAUCCCCAUCCUGGAGACUGGACCCGCUCCAGAGGCCCGGACACACCCAGGAGGCCCCUCACAGACUGCAGACCCCCGCUCGCCCACCGGCCCUGGGAGAGCUCAGAUGCCGCGUCCUCCCCAGACCUCGCCUUCCUGCAACCGUGGAGUUAUUUAUUUGGUCCUGGUGAGGGUGUUUGUGCCUUGUGAGACUCCGUACAUUAAAGAC